ACAAAGAAGAGUUUGAUCCUGGCUCAGGAUGAACGCUAGCGGCAGGCUUAACACAUGCAAGUCGAGGGGCAGCGGGGUAGCAAUACUGCC
rnacentral:rRNA from 1 species